UACGUAGGGCGCAAGCGUUAUCCGGAAUUAUUGGGCGUAAAGAGCUCGUAGGCGGUUUGUCGCGUCUGCUGUGAAAACCGGAGGCUCAACCUCCGGCCUGCAGUGGGUACGGGCAAACUAGAGUGCGGUAGGGGAGAUUGGAAUUCCUGGUGUAGCGGUGAAAUGCGCAGAUAUCAGGAGGAACACCGGUGGCGAAGGCGGGUCUCUGGGCCGUAACUGACGCUGAGGAGCGAAAGCAUGGGGAGCGAACAGG
rnacentral:rRNA from 1 species